rnacentral:tRNA from 1 species
GUGCUUGAUAGUAGAGGAAAUCCUACGGUUAGAGCUUUUGUGGCUCUUGAAGACGGAACUUUGGCUGGGGCAACCGUGCCAAGCGGUGCAAGCACA